rnacentral:rRNA from 1 species
CCUACGGGAGGCAGCAGUGAGGAAUAUUGGUCAAUGGGCGCGAGCCUGAACCAGCCAAGUAGCGUGAAGGAUGACUGCCCUACGGGUUGUAAACUUCUUUUAUAAAGGAAUAAAGUGAGGCACGUGUUCCGUUUUGUAUGUACCAUAUGAAUAAGCAUCGGCUAACUCCGUGCCAGCAGCCGCGGUAAUACGGAGGAUGCGAGCGUUAUCCGGAUUUAUUGGGUUUAAAGGGUGCGUAGGUGGUUAAUUAAGUCAGCGGUUAAAGUUUGUGGCUCAACCCUAAAAUUGCCGUUGAAACUGGUUGACUUGAGUAUAUUUGAGGUAGGCGGAAUGCGUGGUGUAGCGGUGAAAUGCAUAGAUAUCACGCAGAACUCCGAUUGCGAAGGCAGCUUACUAAACUAUAACUGACACUGAAGCACGAAAGCGUGGGGAUCAAACAGGAUUAGAUACCCCAGUAGUC